rnacentral:rRNA from 1 species
AUUACGGAGGGGGUUAGCGUUGUUCGGAAUUACUGGGCGUAAAGCGCGCGUAGGCGGAUUAGUCAGUUAGAGGUGAAAUCCCAGGGCUCAACCCUGGAACUGCCUUUAAUACUGCUAGUCUUGAGUUCGAGAGAGGUGAGUGGAAUUCCGAGUGUAGAGGUGAAAUUCGUAGAUAUUCGGAGGAACACCAGUGGCGAAGGCGGCUCACUGGCUCGAUACUGACGCUGAGGUGCGAAAGUGUGGGGAGCAAACAGGAUUAGAUACCCUGGUAGUCCACGCCGUAAACGAUGAGUGCUAAGUGUUAGGGGGUUUCCGCCCCUUAGUGCUGCAGCUAACGCAUUAAGCACUCCGCCUGGGGAGUACGACCGCAAGGUUGAAACUCAAAGGAAUUGACGGGGGCCCGCACAAGCGGUGGAGCAUGUGGUUUAAUGCGAAGCAACGCGCAGAACCUUACCUACGCUUGACAUGCCUGGACGACUCCGAGAGAUCGGUUUCUCCCUUCGGGGCCAGUGCACAGGUGCUGCAUGGCUGUCGUCAGCUCGUGUCGUG